UCAGAAUCCAUCUCCAAGCCUCUUUUUGGCCUUAUCUAUGUGGCACAAUGCAAAUUGUAAUGCAGAAACACCUGAGCUCAAGUGUAUCUACCUUGGCUAUGCCUGCUAGAGGAAAUUAAACAGUAAAAACCAAGGUUUUAAUGCUUGUUCUUGGUAUCUCUGGAGGUCCCCUGCACUGCCCUUUCUCCACGCACCUUGGAUUGUCAAGAUUUCGUCUCCAGUGACCUGAGGAGCUCCCCACUGCCUCCAUUUUGUCAUCUCCAUCAUCUCCACUUCUCCAUAGUGGUGUUCCAAGAUCUCCUCGGCACCUCAAACAGGACUGCAGAAUUCGUUGUAAGUGUCCUCCUGACUGGAGGGAGAAGAAGCCAUUCUGGAGGCAGAAGGGUCUCUGUUGGUGAAGGUUGUUUGAAACAGCACUUGAUGAGAACAUGCCUGGUUCCUGCUCAUCUUGUUCAGGCAUGAGCUUCUUAAGCAAAAUCCUUUUGUUUAGACUUGGGCCGAAACUAUUUUUUUCUGGAAAGCAUUGAAAGAAAUGGUCCUGGC
rnacentral:lncRNA from 1 species